GACAGAGGGGGCAAGCGUUGCUCGGAAUUACUGGGCGUAAAGGGCGCGUAGGCGGGAUGGCAAGUCGGUCGUGAAAUCCCUCGGCUCAACUGAGGAUCGUCGAUCGAUACUGCCGUUCUUGAGGAUUGCAGAGGAGACUGGAAUUCCCGGUGUAGCGGUGAAAUGUGUAGAGAUGUGGAGGAACACCGAUGGCGAAGGCAGCCCCCUGGGCUAACACUGACGCUCAUGCACGAAAGCGUGGGGAGCAAACAGG
rnacentral:rRNA from 1 species